rnacentral:tRNA from 1 species
CAGACUUCAAAAUUAAAGUAGGCUUUGUCGGAGCUGGGUUCAAUUCCAAA